rnacentral:rRNA from 1 species
UACGGGGGGGGCAAGCGUUGUCCGGAGUUACUGGGCGUAAAGGGCGCGUAGGUGGCGUCGUAAGUGGGGUGUGAAAUCCCGGGGCUUAACCCCGGGACUGCAUUCCAUACUGCGGUGCUUGAGGACUGGAGAGGAGACUGGAAUUUACGGUGUAGCAGUGAAAUGCGUAGAGAUCGUAAGGAAGACCAGUGGCGAAGGCGGGUCUCUGGACAGUUCCUGACACUGAGGCACGAAGGCCAGGGGAGCAAACGGG